rnacentral:rRNA from 1 species
AUGAGCUUCGCCCCACACCCUAGCUCAUACCAAAACAAUUACUCAUAUGGGUGGCCUGAAAACCAGAAUAUGUCAUAUAGGAGCAACAACCCUGAGAUCUCAUCGUUUGCCUCUAGUUAUCCAAUGCAGGGAUUUAGGUAUGAAGAGGAGAGCAACAAUUAUGCUCCACAACAAUUUUAUUCUGCUCCUAUUCAUAUACCUCAGCACCAGGAGAUGUUGCCAAUGGAGUUAAAUGGUCCUCCAUUUGGUCAACCAGCAACUGCUGAGCAAUCUCAUGUGCAAGUGCCCACACAAGAUGAGUUCGAUGACAUAGACAAGCUCACACUUUUGAGUCUCGAGUUCACUUGGAGUGCCAAGGAUGAUCCUAUUAGGAAGGUGAUACUUGAGGAAAUGAAGAAGAUUGAGAGUGGAAAGGAGCUAGUGGAAGAAGUAAGGAAGAUUGAGAAGAACAUCAACGCUGGCAGUACUAUCUCUUCCCUCCUUGAGUUGAGUGUUGCUGGGAUAUUCCUUGACGUGUGUGAGGUUUCAACACCGUCACAUUCAGCUGAGCAAGAUAGCGAGAGUCCAGAGGAAGAGACACUUCAGAUCCAAGAAGAAAUAUUUGAAGACAAGGAACAAGAUGAUCCAGAGCUGCAAUUCCCAAGUGAUCAAGAUGAAGACAAAAGAUCUAGUACUCUUGAAGAAGUAAAAGAAGCUGCUGUAGAGGAACUUGAAGAACCAGAAAUUCAUUUGCCCAUCGUCAUACAAGAGCGUGACAUAGCAGGUUUUUGCUUGUGCACGAAUCAAUACAUGCUGACCAGGUUCGAGGUGACAUUCCUUGGGACCCUGGUGGACUCAGAGCAUGGGGAUGAGGAGAAGCAAGGGGGCACACACGAAGAAGAGUGA